rnacentral:rRNA from 1 species
UACGUAGGCAGCAAGCGUUGUUCGGAAUUACUGGGCGUAAAGAGUGUGUAGGCGGUGCUCUAAGUCUGUUGUGAAAUCUCCCGGCUUAACUGGGAGGGUGCGGCGGAGACUGGAGUGCUAGAGUGUGGGAGAGGUAAGCGGAAUUCCUGGUGUAGCGGUGAAAUGCGUAGAUAUCAGGAGGAACACCAGUGGCGAAGGCGGCUCACUGGCCCGGUACUGACGCUGAGGUGCGAAAGCGUGGGGAGCGAACAGG